AAAUUGUUUGCAUCCUAUUUCUUCUUUGCUCUUCCGUUUGCUAGCCCCACAACCUGGUGGUGUGGCUAGGUGCUGUCCUGCUGCUUACAGAGCAGUUUUGCCACCUGAUUCAGGUACAAUUUGUUGCUGCAGGGAUUGCACAGCUUCCUUUUGUUUUAUGUCAUUAGAAUGCUUUGUCUUCCUUUAAAGAAUAUUUAAUUAAAACAGUUAGGUGGGCAGCCUGGUUUUGAUACAGGAACAGGGAAAUAACCUGUAUUUUGAUCAGUGCUUCUCUAUUACAUACGAAUAUUGCUGCUUUAUCCAGAUUACAGGAUGUUUAUUUUAAUUAAGUUAUGUCUAAUAUCAUUGCUCCUCUUUUCCUACAGCGCGGUGACCCGCAGGUGCGACGGGUCACUGGGGAAAUCAUGCCAAAUUCAAGCUGUGGCAUCGUUUGAUGGGAGAGAGGAUGUUUCUCAGGCGAUGCUAGCCGAAGGCGCUCUUGCAAAGAGCAUUUCUAAAGUAGCGUUCCCGAGCACGCAUGGAAGUAGUUAAAUCUGGGAAAAUGGGAACGCGUUUGACUGUAACUGUUUUACUGUUAGUAAACGCGGUGCUGUUGAAAAGUGCUGAACCGGAGAAAUAACCCGGGACGGGCUUCGCGGGCCGGCAGCGCGGCUUCUCCCAGCCUGUCCAGCCGAUCAGCAUCAGCACCGACUCCGAACGGCUGCGGCCAAGGGCCAGCAAUUAAUAGUCCGUGCACGUUCGACCUGAAAGACCUCCGACACCGCCGGGAGAGGCACCGCGCUGACCGAGCAGGGUCGCUGAGCCACUGUCGGCUACGCGCUCGCUAUCGAAAUGGUCAUUUUGCUUUUCUGUCAGGAGGUAUAAAUGAAAAAGCGAGUAAACAAACUUGCUAAUUACUAUCGUCCCCCCCAAAGUGGUGCUGUAGUAUUAAGACAACGUAUCGGAGCUGGCUUCGUCACUAAUUUUUUCCACACCAAGGUUUUUCCUCGGCCGCAUGCCAUUCUGCCUCACU